UUCGCAAUGCCCGAAAGGGUGACGGAGCGACGCCGCGUGUGGGAAGAAGGCCUUCGGGUUGUAAACCACUGUCGGGAGUUAAGAAAUGCAAGAAUGUUAAUAGCGUUUUUGCUUGACUAAGGCUCCGGAGGAAGCCACGGCUAACUCUGUGCCAGCAGCCGCGGUAAUACAGAGGCGGCAAGCGUUGUUCGGAAUUAUUGGGCGUAAAGAGCACGUAGGCGGCUAUAUAAGUCGGUUGUGAAAGCCUUCCGCUCAACGGGAGAACAGCAUCCGAUACUGUAUGGCUUGAGUGUGGGAGGGGAGAGCGGAACUUCUGGUGGAGCGGUGAAAUGCGUAGAUAUCAGAAGGAACGCCGGCGGCGAAAGCGGCUCUCUGGCCCAUAACUGACGCUGAGUGUGCGAAAGCUAGGGGAGCAAACGGGAUUAGAUACCCCGGUAGUCCUAGCCGUAAACGAUGGGCACUAAGUAGAGGGGUUUU
rnacentral:rRNA from 1 species